GGUGCUGCUGCUGGUGCAGCUUCUGAUCUAAAAAGAAGAACAGGAAAUCAAAAUCCAUUGAUAAGAAGAAAAAUGAUGUUCCAAAGCACAUACAUGCUCUAGAAAAUAUUGAAGUGGGAAUUGAAGGUAUAGAUAAUGAGAAGUUGACCCCUAUGCCACAAAUCAAAUUCGA